UUCGGUUUGCGCAACUGGCGUCUGCGUGGAAUUAACCACGAGGGAGCGCAAAGCGUUAAGACGGCCGAACGCCUGGGUCUCUUAA
rfam:Deltaproteobacteria bacterium RIFCSPLOWO2_02_FTLL_57_26 rifcsplowo2_02_scaffold_3056, whole genome shotgun sequence.